UACGGAGGGUGCAAGCGUUGUUCGGAAUCACUGGGCGUAAAGGGCGUGUAGGCGGCCUGUUAAGUCUGAUGUGAAAUCCCCUCGCUCAACGAGGGAACUGCGUCGGAAACUGGCAGGCUCGAGUACCGGAGAGGAAGGUGGAAUUCCCGGUGUAGCGGUGAAAUGCGUAGAUAUCUGGAGGAACACCGGUGGCGAAGGCGGCAUCCUGGACCGACACUGACGCUGAGGCGCGAAAGCUAGGGUAGCAAACGGG
rnacentral:rRNA from 1 species